rnacentral:rRNA from 1 species
UACGUAGGGGGCAAGCGUUGUCCGGAUUUAUUGGGCGUAAAGAGCGUGUAGGCGGCUUUGCAAGUCCGUUGUGAAAACUCGAGCUCAACCUCGAGACGCCGGUGGAAACUGCAAAGCUAGAGUCCGGAAGAGGAGAGUGGAAUUCCGUGGUGUAGCGGUGAAAUGCGGCAGAUAUCAGGAAGAACACCCGUGGCGAAGGCGGCUCUCUGGGACGGUACUGACGCUGAGACGCGAAAGCGUGGGGAGCGAACAGG